AGCUGUGGUAGUUGUUGGUCCAGCUGUGGUUGUUGUCGGUCCAGCAGUGGUGGUUGUUGGUCCAGCGGUGGUAGUUGUUGGUCCAGCUGUAGUGGUGGUUGGUCUGGCGUUGGUAGUUGUUGGGGCAGUUGUGGUUGUUGCUGUUCCAGCUCUGGUAGUUGUUGGGGCAGCUGUGGUAGUCGUUUGGGCAGAUGUGGUUGUUGUUGAUCCUGCUGUGGUAGUUGUUGGUCUAGCUGUGGUAGUUGUUGGGGCAGCUGUGGUUGUUGUUGGGGCAGCUGUGGUUGUUGUUGGGGCAGCGGUGGUAAUUGUUGGGGCAGCUGUGGUAGUUGUUGGUCCAGUGGUGGUUGUUGUGGGGCUUAAUGUUGCGGUAGUUGGGCCUGCUGUGGUAGUUGUUUGUCCAGCUGUGGUAGUUUUUGGGGCAGCUGUGGUCGUUGAGGCAGCUGUGGUUGUUGUUGAUCCAGCUGUGGUAGUUGUUGGAUCAGCUGUGGUAGUUGUUGGGGCAGUUGUGGUUGUUGCUGUUCCAGCUCUGGUAGUUGUUGGGGCAGCUGUGGUAGUCGUUGG
ensembl:lncRNA